GAGAGAGAGAGAGAGAGAGAGAGAGAGAGAGAGAGAGAUGAACCGAUACUGAGUAAGUGGGCGAGUGAGAGAGGGAGGGAGGGAGGGAGGGAGGGAGAGAGAGAGCUGGUGUGUAUGCACUGGAGGGUGAUCCUCUAUACUGUUUGAGCUCCUGUUUAUCUCUGUGUCUGUCUCCUCUGCGUGCAUUCCUUCCCGACAGAAGCCACAAGGACAGCAAGGAGAGCUUGCUAUCAUAAACCAGCAUGAAAAAGUGAGAAACAUUCAAGCUGCCACCAUACUCCGAGAUAGAUGUCAAGCUGUUUGUGUGAGUUGAAACUUGCGACUACACAGCGGUAAAAACGUGAGAAGACCUGAAAGCCAUGGGUGGAAAAGAAGAAGAAAAAGAAAAAGUGACAGUUAUUGAGGGAUUAUGCGUCAUCAUUGACAUUUGCAGAACAUUUUUAUCGAGCUGUAUUCAUUAUCUGGUGAAUUACUCCCUUUUUAGCACCUAAUCAGCCUGCCGCGGAUUAGCUUCAGCUCAUGUAAAAUUUAUUUCAUGCUUCAGCUUCCAUGGAAGCGAGGCAUGAAGAACCACUCAGACCAGUGAAUGUGCCAGAGGCAUGCAAAUAAAUGACA